ensembl:lncRNA
CAACUAUGUUUUUCUAUAACUGACACUUAUUUUACUUUCUGAAGUUAGAAAAGAGAUUAAGAUUGCCAAAUUUUGAAAUUUGAACACUAUUUUAAAGCUCGAAUGUCCUUAAGUCUUUAAAUUUACCUUCUAAAAAUAAAUAAUUGUUGAAAUAAAAGACUGUAUAUGACAAAAUGGUGUUAAUCUACAUAAAUAAAUUUAAAACAUUAAGUUAUUUAAAAUAAAGCUUUGAAUUGCAAUGUUUUAUCAAUGGCUUACAUAUCCAAAAAUCUGAGCACUCUGAAACAGGAUGUUUCACAUGAGAAACCGUUAAACUGUUGAGCACAUUUACAGAACUGAUGUACAUGAUAAAAAUCUUCUACGUAGCAAGCUCUAGUAUUAUACCUCUGUGAAGAGACCAGUUGUUGCUUUUUUUUUUAACAGAAUUGUGAACCCGCCUUUGUGAAGGAAAAAGUCAGGUAGUGUACUCACAGAGAAACUCUGAGUAUGUGGAAAAACAGAAAUGUUUUUGGAUGAAGAAAACAGAAAAUAAAAGUUAUUAAUUUUGAGUGGUAAACAAAUCUCCUUUAUAAAUAUAUGCAUUAGCACAUAAGAAUUUUACCCAACACAUUUUACAAAAGACCUGGCAAAUACAAACACUGGUACGCCACAGCUUUAAACAACGGAAGAGAUUUAAGAUUGGUAACUACACACACACACACACACACACACACACACACACACACACACACACGCAUACAAAUAUGCUUUAGAAAGACUGAAUCAGUGUAUCUAAUGUUAAAAAUAUAUAGUCAUCCUUUUAUUGUAAGGAACUCAGCUCAUUUUCUCAAAAGCUGCUAUUUUAGAUUGAAAGAGUAAAUGAAAGUAAAUUUCAGAUGGUUAACACCAGAAUUUAUUAUAGUCUUUGUAAACAGACAUCUAUAAAUAAAUAAAAUAGGGUGGAGAAAAGAAUAUCCUGAGAUGGCUCUGUGGCCAGGGUAUUCAGUAGCACUAAGCUCCAUUCUGAAAAUCAAGGCAUCUAAGAAAGUGCAGGGCUGUUUGUUUGAAUUUAUUUUGGAAAUGGAAUAUGCACAGGUUUAAUUAUUUUGCACCUUGAGGUAAAUCAGUACACAGCAAAUACUACUUCUCAUAUAUACCUAUUUAAGGCAACACUUAAAAAUCAAUAUAUAGUAAAUUGUAUCUUUCACUGUCUUGCAAUGAAUGCUAUCCAUGAUUCCACUUAACACAAGCAGUUAAUUACUUAAACACGAGUUACCUUAGCUCUUCAAUGGAGCAGUCAUAUCAGAUCAUUUUGUAAAUCAAGUAGUCAAAAGAAAGCAGAAGCCAUUAGUAAUGGAGACAGUAGAACAUUCUGAAUGCUAAGUAUUUUGCAAGUUAGGGUUUUUCUAGCACUGGAUAAUUACUAUACAUAAUUAUAUAAAAUCAGAAAAAACACUAUGAUCCCAGAUAGUUUUCAGUUUAAAUUUUAAAAUCACUUCCUGUAAAAUAAGUGCAUUUGUUAACUCUUUGAUGUCCAAACACAAGGAAAUGAUAUGAGGAAAUUUUCUUGUUCAGGUACAUCAGGGGAGUUAAAAAAAUAGCAGCAGAUAGCAGGAACUUUGGACCUGACUAUGCUGCUAUGAAUAAAAAGUAAUCGUCUAAAUGGAAGCACAUAAAUGAUAAUAAGCACCAUGGGUCAUACUCUCCAUCGAUUGCCAAUAGAGUCUAAAAGUCUUUUUCGGGCAGUACCAGAUAAUGCCAAUGACAUUUUCUAAAGAAAAGCAGCUACAUUUCCAACAUCUCAGGUGAGGCAUAAAUUGAAUUUAUUAUUGUACUAGAAUCUGCAGAAGGGAAAAUUGUAUUAGCUAUUAUGUACUUUAGAAUGGAAUGAGAACACUUUAGCAUUGCUAAAAUACCAGCUUUUGGCAUUUUUGUGAUCUUCUUUCAAGAUCAAUUAUUCACUUUUGCCUUUAAUUAUAAAUGACUAAAGGGAGCACUGGAAUUUCACUAAAAUUUUUUCCCUAAUAUUCAUGUUACCAUCUCCAGUAUUUCUGUAGCUUUUCAAUAAUCACUUGGAUCUUGCCAAAUCAGUGUCACAAUCCCAUUCACCCAGUCCUACAAGCUUAACAGUAACAUUUAUUGAGUAUGGAGCUAAGAGUAUAUAAAAGAUGACUAAAAUGAAUGCUAAAUUAAAAGGGCAGCUAAGAAAAACUAAAUUAAAUUUUAAAAUACUAACAAAAAAUAGGAAGAAUGCCAUCAAUUGAGCUCUACGUAAGUCUAAUUUUCUUUAAAAG